rnacentral:rRNA from 1 species
GACAGAGGGGGCAAGCGUUGUUCGGAAUUACUGGGCGUAAAGGGCGCGUAGGCGGGAUGGCAAGUCGGUCGUGAAAUCCUUCGGCUCAACCGAAGAACGUCGAUCGAUACUGCUGUUCUUGAGGGUUGCAGAGGAGACUGGAAUUCCCGGUGUAGCGGUGAAAUGUGUAGAGAUCGGGAGGAACACCGGUGGCGAAGGCGGGUCUCUAGUACGGUACUGACGCUGAGACGCGAAAGCGUGGGGAGCGAACAGG